rnacentral:tRNA from 1 species
GCGCCUGUAGCUCAGUUGGAUAGAGCGGGGGCCUUCUAAGCCUCAGGUCAGGGGUUCGAAUCCCUUCAGGCGCGCCA